rnacentral:rRNA from 1 species
GUAGUCAUAUGCUUGUCUCNAAGAUUAAGCCAUGCAUGUCUAAGUAUAAGCAAUUAUACCGCGAAACUGCGAAUGGCUCAUUAUAUAAGUUAUCGUUUAUUUGAUAAUACUUUACUACUUGGAUAACCGUGGUAAUUCUAGAGCUAAUAUAUGCUGAAAAUCCCGACUUCGGAAGGGAUGUAUUUAUUAGAUUAAAAACCAAUGCCCCUCGGGGCUCUCUGGUGAAUCAUAAUAACUAGUCGAAUCGACAGGCCUUGUGCCGGCGAUGGCUCAUUCAAAUUUCUUCCCUAUCAACUUUCGAUGUUUGGGUAUUGGCCAAACAUGGUGGCAACGGGUAACGGAGGGUUAGGGCUCGACCCCGGAGAAGGAGCCUGAGAAACGGCUACUACAUCCAAGGAAGGCAGCAGGCGCGCAAAUUACCCAAUCCCGACACGGGGAGGUAGUGACAAUAAAUACUGAUACAGGGCUCUUUUGGGUCUUGUAAUCGGAAUGGGUACAAUUUAAAUCCCUUAACGAGGAACAAUUGGAGGGCAAGUCUGGUGCCAGCAGCCGCGGUAAUUCCAGCUCCAAUAGCGUAUAUUAAAGUUGUUGUGGUUAAAAAGCUCGUAGUUGAACCUUGGGCCUGGCUGGCCGGUCCGCCUCACCGCGUGCACUGGUCCGGCCGGGCCUUUCCCUCUGCGGAACCCCAUGCCCUUCACUGGGUGUGGCGGGGAAACAGGACUUUUACUUUGAAAAAAUUAGAGUGCUCAAGGCAGGCCUAUGCUCGAAUACAUUAGCAUGGAAUAAUAGAAUAGGACGUGUGGUUCUAUUUUGUUGGUUUCUAGGACCGCCGUAAUGAUUAAUAGGGACAGUCGGGGGCAUCAGUAUUCAAUUGUCAGAGGUGAAAUUCUUGGAUUUAUUGAAGACUAACUACUGCGAAUGCAUUUGCCAAGGAUGUCUUCAUUAAUCAGGAACGAAAGUUAGGGGAUCGAAGACGAUCAGUACCGUCGUAGUCUUAACCAUAAACUAUGCCGACUAGGGAUCGGACGAUGUUACAUUUUUGACGCGUUCGGCACCUUACGAGAAAUCAAAGUGCUUGGGCUCCAGGGGGAGUAUGGUCGCAAGGCUGAAACUUAAAGAAAUUGACGGAAGGGCACCACCAGGGGUGGAGCCUGCGGCUUAAUUUGACUCAACACGGGGAAACUCACCAGGUCCAGACACAAUGAGGAUUGACAGAUUGAGAGCUCUUUCUUGAUUUUGUGGGUGGUGGUGCAUGGCCGUUCUUAGUUGGUGGAGUGAUUUGUCUGCUUAAUUGCGAUAACGAACGAGACCUUAACCUGCUAAAUAGCCCGUAUUGCUUUGGCAGUACGCCGGCUUCCUANAGGGACUAUCGGCUCAAGCCGA